UUGAUCGGGCAUGUCAUUUCAAGAAGUCCCCUCCUCCACAUUUGUUUUUGCCAAUUUGCACAUUAAAUGACUUCCCUCAAACAUGUAUUAUGGGGCAAGAGGGGGUAGGGUUUAAGAUUUAGGCAGUUGGGUUUUUUAAGGGCCCUUUUUCAAUAACUGGAACACUCUAUACAAGAGACUUAUUUAACUAGAUGACAAUGACUAUUUUUGUUUUUAUU